UCGCCUACGGGGCGCAGCAGUGGGGAAUAUUGCACAAUGGGCGCAAGCCUGAUGCAGCGACGCCGCGUGCGGGAUGGAGGCCUUCGGGUUGUAAACCGCUUUUGUUCAAGGGCAAGGCACGGUCUUUGGCCGUGUUGAGUGGGUUGUUCGAAUAAGCACCGGCUAACUACGUGCCAGCAGCCGCGGUAAUACAUAGGGAGCAAGCGUUAUCCGGAUUUAUUGGGUGUAAAGGGUGCGUAGACGGGAAAUUAAGUUAGUUGUGAAAUCCCUCGGCUUAACUGAGGAACUGCAACUAAAACUGAUUU
rnacentral:rRNA from 1 species